CUGAAAAUGCAUAGAUUUUCAUAUUCUUUGGUCAGGGAAUUGCAUAUAUGUUUGUUUAUUAGAUAACAACAGAUUUGUUUAAACUGCAGAAACAUGUGAGGUAUAUAGGACUAAGACUAGUAAUUAUUUCCCCUUAUUUCAUGAUGGACGAAUGUAGUGCGAGUUAUAAAUAGACAAUUUUUCCCUUAAUUUUUUUCUCCCCUCUUCCUGCAUUUUUGGGUUGACUUUUUGGUCUAGAAUUGGAGAAAAGGGAUCAAAUUUGCAAUUUCAUAGCAGUUUUGGGUAAUACUGAUGAUAUUACAGCGGAGGGAUAGGGGGUGUAAAGUGUCUUUCUGCAGAGCAAUCAUUGUGUCGGAAGUGAGAUUUUCACCCCUGUCAACUUCAAAUCCGUGUAGCAAAAAAUCUAAACGGUCAACCCCCUACAAAAUUAUGAUGAGGAGAUUGCCAAAUGUUGUCCCCAUUGUGCCUAUAAAGAUUGGAACCAACGGAAUGUUGAGCAAAAAGCUACAGCCUGUGAUGUUACAGUCAUUUAACAUUGAAGUCAAUGGGCAAAUAAUUGCUAGUCUGAGUCCUGAUGAUAUAAAGAAGCAUGGCCGACUCGGGAUGUUGAUAUUUUUUCAAGGGCUUAUUUCCUGAAGUUUUGAAUGGAAAGUGUCAGAAAUAGUGCCAGGACAAUGUUUCAUAGAGUGGAAUGAUUGACCUCAACACAAGUAUUAAAAAAAAAGAAGCAAAACAGGUGCCAGGACAAUGUUUCAUAGAGUGGAAUGAUUGACCUCAACACAAGUAUUAAAAAAAAAGAAGCAAAACAGGUCUACAUCUCAAAACCUGAUCUCUUCCUGGACUGGCUUUAGGAGAACGAUGAUGCAUAUCAAUUUCAUCCCUGAUCUCUAUGACACCUGUGGUGGAAGUGGAGGGCAAAUCGUAAUCAGUUUGGGUUCCAGCCCCGAGGACCUCUGUAAACUUUGCUUUUUGGUGAUGACUUAAUUUCCGAGCUUGAAAAGGACGCUUGUGUGUUUAUCAUGGCCUCUCAUAUUGGAAGAUAACAUUAAUGGCUUGUGUGUUGAUCGACGGUUGUGCAUAUCUCUUGGUCAGGACAGGUGUAGGCACCAUCGCCAUUGUAAAUCAUUUGACAGGCCUGAGUGAACGGGGCGACCUAUGAUUGGUCAGCAAUGUAUCAGAUUCCAUACCGGGGGGUGGGGAUGAAAAAACUGUUGUAGUGUUACAUAAUCAGAUUAUUUCAACUUACUUAUCCUGUGGAAAUACAGCUAUAUAGGAGAUAUUUUGAAAUUCAUAGGCACUGCAUGUUUCAACAUUUUAGAUUUGACCACAAUUUGGCACUUGAAACUAUGUUAACAGAGAAAAACUGUGUGGUUUUCGAUGAAAGUGUUAAAAGUCUAAUAUUGCAUCAUGAUUACUGUUUUAAAGUAUUUUCGUGUUUGAUUUAUAUUGAAUUCAUCUCAUCUUUUUGAAGAAUGCAUUUAUGUUCAAAAAUAAAAAUGUUCUGUGGAAUUCAAAAUUCAUGUGCUUUUAAAUUAUCAGAUUCCAAACUGGGGGGUAGGGAUGAAAAAGCUGUUGUAGUGUUACAUAAUCAGAUUAUUUCAACUUACUUAUCCUAUGGAAAUACAGCUAUAUAGGAGAUAUUUUAAAAUUGAUAGGCACUGCAUGUUUCAACAUUUUAGAUUUGACCACAAUUUGGCACUUGAAACUACGUUAACAGAGAAAAACUGUGUGGUUUUCGAUGAAAGUGUUAAAAAGUCUAAUAUUGCAUCAUGAUUACUGUUUUAAAGUAUUUUCGUG